GCUAUUUUGGCAGAUAAGUGCAUUAGAUUUAGAAUCUAUAAAUGUAAGUUUUUAUUUACAGAUAGUA
rnacentral:tRNA from 1 species